GGGCAUUUUAUUGGUUUGAAAAUUGUUUAUCUUUCUCUGUAAAGUUUGGCAAGCGGCAGAGUAGGGUAUGAACAACCUGGGUUUUGAAGUUGGGCCAGACUUAGAAUGUUGAUGCACUAAUUAGCAGUUACUUUAUGUGACUUACUAGGUAUGUAUCCUGAACAUUAAAAUUUCUAACAGGCAGUUGUAAAGUAGGUAUAAUCUUUAGCACACUGGAGAGUAGGGGAACUAAUAAGAGCAAAUACUUAGAGAAUUUGGGCAGUAACUGGCGUUGCGGCUUUCCAGUGUGGCCUUUAAUUUAAUGUGGGACUUUACAGUGAAUAGUCAACACUGUCACAGCAUCAACUGAAAAUUACGUUCUGCAGAUAACUUCUUUCCAUUUUCGUUGUUGUUUGGCACAAGGUCUCAAACGCUCAGGCCGGCCUUGAACUUGCUGUAUAGAUGAGGAUGACUUUAAACCUCACAUCCUCUUGCUUGUACUUCCCUAGUGCUGAGGUGACAGGCAUGAGCCACCACACCUGACUACAGAGGACUUCUUAAUAAAUGCAUAUAGGGUCCAUGAGGAAGUUGUGGUUAUGAUCAAUAUACACUGUAUCCACGUGUCCUGGCUGGUUUUGCAAGCUAGAGUCAUUGGAAAGGAGAGAUCCUCCUUUCCAUUUCAGAAAAUGCCUCCAUAAUAUUCAGCUGUAGGGCAUUUCCUAUGGUGGCAUCCCUGGCCUGAUGGUCCUCGGUUCUAUAAGAAAGCAGGCUGACCAAUCCGUGAAGAGCGAACCAGUAAGCAACACCUCUCCAUGGCCUCUGCAUCAGGUUCUGCCUCCAGGGUCCUGCCCUGUUUGAGUUCCUUUCCUGACUUCUUUCAAUGAUGGACCACAAUGUGGAAAUGUAAGCCCAAUAAACCCUUUCCUUCCCAACUUGCUUCAUGGUGUUGCAUCACAGCAGUAGAAGCCUAACAAAGGCACUGUGUAUGACACUUUCAAAGAAUAAAUAAAAAUAUUAUAAAAACAAAAGCAUAUGUCACAGAAUGGUUGGCUACAGUAAAGAAAAACUGAUACUUUAUGGUGACAAAUUCUCUUACUCUGUACAUCUACAUGUCUACUGUACAGUAAUAAUGGUGGAUAUUUACUUGUAUAUCCUAACCACAAGUAUAUCCUAAUCUUUACAAAUGAUUAAAGGUAAUGUAAGUUAUGUGAUUUCAUCCUUAAGUGUUAUUAUUAUAAAAUGCUUUUAUUAGUAUCACUAUUAUUAUUAUUAUUAUUGUGAAGUGUCUGUGUGGGGAUACAUGCGUGCUAUGGCAUGGAUGUGGAGGUCAGAGGAUGGUUGUGUGCAGCUGGUCCUCUCCUUCCACCUUUAGUUGGUUUCAGAAAUGGAUCUCAAGCUGUGAUGCUUACAUGACACACACUGAAUUCUCUCUCUGGCCAAGUAUUUUCAGAACUGCUUAAAACUCAGAAGUCCAAAAAUCACAAUAAAAUUCUCUAAUCAGUUGAUUGGGUUUCCUUCUGGGAGCAAGCAAAAGCUCCACAGUUUAAUCCUAUAUGUUAGCACACGUGUGUGUGUGUGUGUGUGUGUGUGUGUGUGCGCGCGCGCGUGCGUGUGUGCAUGUUUAUGUGCAUAUAGAUGUGGACAUCCUUGGAAAAGCACCAGGUUCCCAGAGCUGGAGUCACAGGCUGCUGUGAGCUACCCGAUGUGGCCGGUGGGAACUGACUAAGGUCCUCUGGAACAAGAAGAGCUCCUAACUGCUGAGCCAUCUCAGCAGUCCCUACAGGGUGUUGGUAAAUCGAUCUAUGUACUAAUGACGCG
rnacentral:lncRNA from 1 species